rnacentral:rRNA from 1 species
AUUGAACGCUGGCGGCAUGCUUUACACAUGCAAGUCGAACGGCAGCGCGGGCUUCGGCCUGGCGGCGAGUGGCGAACGGGUGAGUGAUGCAUCGGAACGUGCCCAGUAGUGGGGGAUAGCCCGGCGAAAGCCGGAUUAAUACCGCAUACGACCUGAGGGUGAAAGCGGGGGACCGAAAGGCCUCGCGCUAUUGGAGCGGCCGAUGUCGGAUUAGCUAGUUGGUGGGGUAAAGGCUUACCAAGGCGACGAUCCGUAGCUGGUCUGAGAAGACGACCAGCCACACUGGGACUGAGACACGGCCCAGACUCCUACGGGAGGCAGCAGUGGGGAAUUUUGGACAAUGGGGGCAACCCUGAUCCAGCCAUGCCGCGUGCGGGAAGAAGGCCUUCGGGUUGUAAACCGCUUUUGUUCGGGAAGAAAUCCUCUGGGCUAAUACCCCGGGGGGAUGACGGUACCGGAAGAAUAAGCACCGGCUAACUACGUG